rnacentral:rRNA from 1 species
AGUGAACGCUGGCGGUAGGCCUAACACAUGCAAGUCGAACGGCAGCACAGUAAGAGCUUGCUCUUACGGGUGGCGAGUGGCGGACGGGUGAGGAAUACAUCGGAAUCUACUUUUUCGUGGGGGAUAACGUAGGGAAACUUACGCUAAUACCGCAUACGACCUACGCGUGAAAGCAGGGGAUCUUCUGACCUUGCGCGAUUGAAUUAGCCGAUGUCGGAUUAGCUAGUUGGCGGGGUAAAGGCCCACCAAGGCGACGAUCCGUAGCUGGUCUGAGAGGAUGAUCAGCCACACUGGAACUGAGACACGGUCCAGACUCCUACGGGAGGCAGCAGUGGGGAAUAUUGGACAAUGGGCGCAAGCCUGAUCCAGCCAUACCGCGUGGGUGAAGAAGGCCUUCGGGUUGUAAAGCCCUUUUGUUGGGAAAGAAAAGCAGCAGGUUAAUACCCCGCUGUUCUGACGGUACCCAAAGAAUAAGCACCGGCUAACUUCGUG